AAAGGGAGCUUGGGCUGGCUAGUGAGUCUACAGAGGAAAAGGAGGAGGAACAGGUGGAAAGGCUGGAAAGGUUACCUUCUGCUGCUGCUUGAUGCUUGUCCCUCAGCUGGAAACAACCACCCUUGGAGCUGAGCCGAGGAAAGAACAUAUUUGGGGCCUGAUGUUAGGUCAGAAUUGGAACUGGAACUUUGAAAACAAAGCUUUUUUCCCCCAAAACAGUGCUGUAAGCUAGUCCCUCAGCUAGCCUGCAUCAAAAGAAGUGUGGCCAGCAGGUCAAGGGAGGUGAUUCUGCCCCUCCACUCUGCUCUUGUGAGAUCCCACCUGGAGUACUGUGUCCAGUUCUGGAGCCCCCAGCAUAAGAAGGACAUGUAUCUCUUGGAGCGAGUCCAGAGGAGGGCCAGAAAAUGAUCAGAGGACUGGAGCACAUUUCCUAUGCAGACAGAGUGAGAGAGUUGGGGCUGUUCAGCUUGGAGAAGAGGUGACUCUGGAGAAACUUUAUUGCAAGCCUUUCAAUAUUUAAAGGAGGCCUAUAAGGAAGAGGGGGAGGGACCUUUUAGUAGGGCUUUUGGUGAUAGGACAAGGGUUAAUGGUUGUAAACAGAAAGAGUGUAGAUUUAGCCUAGAUAUAAGGAAGAAAUCUUUCACAAUGAGGGUGGUGAAACACUGGAACAAGUUGCUAAGAGAGAUGGUAGAAGCACCAUCCCUGGAAAAUUUCAAGGUUAGAUUGGACAGGGCAACUCUGAGCAACCUAAUCUAGUUGAAGAUGUUCUUGCUCACUGCAGGAGGGUUGGACUAGAUGACCUUUAAAGGCCCCUUCCAAUCUAAACCAUUCCAUGAUAAAUAGAGUAGGACUCAGAAUAUUUUUUUUCUGUUCAUGUCUGUCCUGUACGUUCUACUUCUCAUAGUAACUUCUCAUAAUACUUCUUUAAGUAUCAUAUUUUUUAUGAUACUUUAAUGGAUCAUAUCGAACAUUCCCAUCUUGCUUGGAAGGUGCUUUUCAUGGGGGCACUUUGCUGUUUGACCCCACCGUGUGGAUCAUGGUGUUAACUUUUGAUUGAGACCUUGGUAUUUCUGCAGAGUAAAGAGUUAUCAAAUAUAUUCAGAACUUAAAAUUCAGAUGAGAGCAGCUUGUGCGGGUGCAGGGAUGUGCAUAGGAGAGAAGGGCAAAAUAAUAGUUCAGUUAUUUUAUUUUUGUGCUGCAGGACAAACCUUGCAAAACCAUGGAGGCUUUGCAACAUGUUUUCUGUAACUGGCCAAAUAAAAUAUUAUGUUGUAAAGCAUUCAAGGUCAGAGAAGUAACUUGGUCUCUGGGCUUUGCAUUUUUUCUUCCUCACAAUAGCUUCUGCUGAAUUAUAAUCUUUAAUCUGCAUGUGGGGGGCCAGAACCUGACUGCCAUUGCAUCUGCUCCGCACUGCUGCAAAAAAUGCAGAGCAGGCAGAAAGUUAGCCUAGCUGGAUUGCUGGAGAUUAUUACCCUGACCUAGUUUGUCAGCUGUGGUGCAGGAACUGGAUGCUGUGGCCAGAGUAUAGCAGCAGGAAGAGGAUUUGUUGCAAUGCUCAUGUGUUUGAGUAUGUGUUGGAUGGAGUUGUGCAUAUCCCCCCCCCAUUAGCACCUCAAGGGUGAGAUGGUCCCUAGCCGCUCUUGCAACAGGGCUCUGAUGCUUGGCAGCAGCCAGAGCUAUGGCUUUGAUUGGUUUCCGGAGAUGCAUGUCGUUGCCAUUUGAGAAAUGCCUGUGUCACAUGCAGUGCAGCUUUUACGGCUUGCUCUUGUGUAUGUUUCUUGACGCAAACGGCAGAGUGUUUUGUUGCUAGAUAGUGAUCUAGAGCAAGCACCGCAGCUGGGGUAUUCCUGCUGCAGCCUCCCCAGUGAGCGAGCCUGGGUACAACCACACACAUUUCUGUCAUGAAGCAAUCUCCUGUAAAUGUUUCCCGGAGCUUGGUUUGCUUUCAGCAGCAAGCAAGGACAUUUGCUGUAUUGGAGGGCCACCCUGAUGUCUAACGCAGAGCUGGAUUCUACAAACAGUGGAAACUUUCUGCAUUUAAACGAAGAAAAUCAAACUGGAGUCGGCUGGAGCUAUUUGUAGAGCUUGCUGUGUUUGAGUAAGCCAGCCUUUUUUGUUAAAGACUCUGGAUGGAUGAUUGUAUACAGGGUUUUUUUCCCACUGUUUAAAAUUGAUAUGUUGUUUUAACAAUAAUUCACUCUUGGCUAGUUUGUUUUUUAAAAAAUGUCUGCAUCGAGUUUACCCAUGAUUAUUUAUCUCUGGAAUUCCAAUAUUGCCUAUUCUCCAUUUUCUUGCAAAUUGAAAAUACUCUGAGCUUUCCUCAGAGGCACGGAUCCUGAAACAGAAUAAGGAGAAAAUCUCAGUUUUCAUUGCAAUGCAAUAUUAAAAUAAUACUUUUUGUUUUGUAAUGAUGGAGAAAAGAUUGAAAACAAGAGCUGAAUAUACUCCACAGGCUCAGGAACCAGAAAAUAAUAA